rnacentral:lncRNA from 1 species
AAUUGUAGAUAAGCGUUUCGACAUAUAUAUAUAUAUAUACAUUCUUGCAAUAAAACUGAUUUUUUUUCAUUUUGUUAGCUCAACUGAAUGGGUAAUCAGUUUGUCUAUUUUCUGCCACUGUAGUGAUUAGAUUAAAGUACUGCAUGAUGAACUGACAACACAUCUUUGUAAGGUAAUUGCUACUGCAGAAACUUUUUGGACACAGCAGAAAUAGAAUGCUAAUUGGGUCUUUGAUCUGCAUGAACUGCAAGUCCAUUACUAUAUAACCUGCUGGGAGCUUCAUUAACUAUCCUUUGAAAAGAAUAAGCACAUGGAAUUAGAAUUUAUCCUGUUUUAUGAUGUCUGUUUGACUUCUGUUUCUUUACUUUUGCUAAAUUUUCCCUUAAGCACAUCUUAAUCAAGAUGAUUGUGAAAUAUGCAAAAAGUUUUCUAUUAUAUCAUAAAGGGGGAAAUUCACUUUCAUAUAUGAAUGUUUUUAAAGAUUUAAACCACUAAGUUUUUUUUUUGCUUAAAAAAUAAUUUUAAACCUGGCGCCAAAAUUUUUUUAGAUAUUUAAGUUAUAUUUUAUUUAAAGCAGUUAGAACAAGUUAGGACUUUGUCAAUGUUGUCAACUAUGGUUAUUGGUUGACAAUUGCGAUCUAAAUUAAAACUUGGCGAACUAAAAUCUAAAAAUAAGAUAUAAUUAUCGUAUGGACACAACCACGUUAACCAUGUGAACUUCCAGUUACUUCGUAUUGAUUAAAUCUCUCUACUAAUAUUAUUGUUUCUUCCUGGUUUUGUGUGUCAGACAACGAAUCGAAUGCGACAAGAAUGCCUGUCAGUAGUACUAGAGAGAAAGUUGUCUUGCCAAACAGGUUUUUUUUUUCCAUAAUUUUUACUUCAUCCAUUCAAUUCCCGCUGCUACAAUUCUUCCCUUUAACUAACCGGGAAAAUUCAUUUGUAGAUGCUUAUAUAACGAGUAAUGAAAACCCUACUUUCUUUUGUAAUUUCUUUAUAUACUACUACACAACUGUAAGUUAGAUGGUUGUAGUUAAACUAAAAGUAAUAUGAAACUGGUCUUUCCCUGUAAUUAUAAAACUAGUUUUUCUAUAGAAGGCUGUUCUUUACUGAUUCGUCUUGGGAUUGUUUUAGUUGUGGUUGGCGAUGGUCGGUUUGUGUUCUCACGUUACUCUCCUACCCCAACAUAUCCAGCUGAAGUCUAUAAUUAUCAACUGUAACGUAAUCCGAACCAACUUGACAUAACAUCCUCUGCUUAUUAGUGAAUUUUCUCUAUAAAAUAAUUAAGAAGCAUAGUAGUGGAAUUUUUUUAUUUACUAAUAAUUUAUUAAUCUGCAUUAACAUAGAAUUUUGUACUUAACUUUUUUAAAAACAAAAAGGUUUUUUUUUUGACUGGAGAAAAUGGAAUUAUUUUCUAGAAACGAUGAUGUAACUUCCAGUUAGGAAAAUUGCUGUUGUGCUUAUGCAUUCAGCAGAUGAUGACAAAUAGGACAAUGAACUUUUAUUUUAGCUUCGAUAAGAAUGUUUUAACUAUUUAAAACUUUUAUAAUAGCUUUAUGACUGCUUUCUGGCAUCAGUUGGAAGCAAAUAUUGAUGUAAAACAAAAUGGCGAGAUUCAAAGAGACUGCUCUCUACAUAGGAAGAGGCAAAUGAGGAAAGAGGGGGCCAGAUAGGAGAGGUUCACGAAGUCAACUUGAUCUCGCUGGGGAGGUUUAAACUUCAAGGUCUCUCUGUUCAUGAUUGAAAAAGCACGAAGAUUCAAAACUAAAUUUUGACCAUUUGUUAAAGUAAUUUAAUCACUACAUCUGCAUUAAAAUUUUGUUACUGAUGACUUUUGAGUAACUAACAAAAAACACAGAUCAAAUAUUAAUGUAAAAUAAUGCUGUUUUUUUACUAAUUCUGUUCUACCAACAAUUUAGUCUAUAUAAGUUUAUUAUGACUCAAAUUUUUCUCUAUGGGCGCAAUUCGAUUCUGAAUUAAGACAAUGUGUAAAGACAAGAUAAUUAUUUAAAAAUCAUCAUCAUUCACUUCCAACAAAUCAGUUUUGACACCAUAUAUCAGUCAUACAGUUAAUAGUACUGGCGAUAAUUGCUUAAUUCUAUUCCACGGUGAUCUUUUCCCAGAGUCAUCGAAUAAUAAGGUAAUCAAUACAUCAUCACAGAUUCGGAAUACUAUACAUUAUUGCUGCAACCGUUAUGAAAAGAAAAAAAGAUAACUGUGUGCAAUUUUCGUUACUCCUGCUUGAAAAUACCCAUUUAUAGGUUUAUCUUUUCAAUAUUCAGUGCACGACUACACACAAACUGCGAAAACCUAGCUGUACCUUCGCGUGUUUAAAUGAUGGUAAGGCAAGUUUUCCUGACAAACACCGUUGUUUGUCCACAUCAAUUGUUUCCUGAGUUUAUGUGCCGCAUAACAAGCCUACAGUACAUAGUAAUUUUCUAUUUUUUUUUUCUUGUUUUUAUUUCAGUUAUAGAUGGUUCCUGCAAAUAUUGCGUGUAUUAUGCCCAUUCAUUGAUUUUUUUUUUUUUUGGUAAACAGAACGUUGAAAAAUUUUAAUUCUUUCUGCUGAUUUCUAUUAUUGAAUUUUAAUAGUUGUUAACUUCGUGAAAAGAACCAUUUAGUUACCAAUUCGUGAACAUGUGGUUAUUUCGAAUAUUUUCCGAUGCUGCUGUUUAUCCGAGUAUUAGGAUUAAACUUUUAACGAUUCAGCGAAAAUUGAUUAUAUUACGAAGUGAAGUGUUUUCUCGAUUAUUUUAGCAAUAAUCUUAAAGCGCAGCGAGUUUCUUGAUCCCUUUUUUUAGAUUUUAUUAGCUUAAAUAUAUAGUAAUGACUUGUUUAAGUGUUCUUCUCGAAAGAUGCUAUAAUGGACCUAUUUAGGUCAUGGUUAAAAUAAGACGAGUUCUACAAAAAACUACCAGGUUAAGGUCUGUAAAAACAUCACCACACCAAAUAGAUGGUAUAUCAGUUACCAGGGUCGUAAAAAUAUAAAAUCAGUUGACAUUUGGAAAGUAAAGAUUACAUAACUCUGGAGGCAAAACCUUUUAUCGGGCCCCACUAGUGCAAACUCUCACAGUAAAGGAUAGUUUUUUUAAUGAACGUAAGGUCACAACCGUUACGGUAUCAAUUAAGGAAUAGAAUAUGUAAAAAACCUGUAUUUAUAAUCGAUGCUGCACUUUCGUAGAUAUUUCGGUCACCACAACUGGUAUUUUGAAGCAACAAAUGUCACGGAUAUCACGAAAAGAUAUGCAUAAGGGGAAGAAAAAAAUUUCCUCUCCUAGUAUCAAGUAGAUAGGAAAAACGGGUUAACAAGCUCCAGCUGCAGAUAACAUUCAGUGCAAGCUAUCACGACUAUAGAAAGUGGUACAACAAAAUACUCUGUAUAGUAAACUUCAGAACUGUUCAGACAAGAAUAGAGAUUGGAAGUCGUAAAACUGAACCUUGUUUCGUUUCAGUUCCCUUGUAAAAUAUCAAUACCUACAAUAGCUUAUAAAUUUCACUUUUUUUUUUUCCUAUUCGGAAAAAUUUUUUUUGUUGUAUGAUAUUUAAAGACAGAAUACUUCUACGACGCUAUAAACAGAUUUUUCGGACUAAACCAAUUGGGAAUAGUUGUGGUCAACCAACUUCUUUCUCUAGGGAGGAGUGUCUCGCCAGUUGCCAUCGUUUAUCAAGAUGAUGUCAAGUUUUGUCUUUCGGCUGAAUAAGCUCAGGCUCUCUAAACCACUUAAAUAUAUUUAAAAAGUAAAAGAAAAUGGAAAAAGAGACGAGACUAUGCCCAUUCUAUUCGAUUGAAAUCUUUUGAUAGUCUAUUAGAUUAUUUUGCUUGUUUUCGGUUCGACUCGUUAAAUCAUAAGUUGGCCACAAAUUGGUAAAUAUAUGAGUUUUCGCAGAAAUGAACUUAGAACAUGUUUGUUCAGCAGCUGAUCAGCCGUCCAUCAUUGAAUGAAUAGACAGGAAGUGGCACUAGACUUUAUAACCCGGACGUCACGGUUUUAACGUCUGCUUGAGCAAUUAGUGACUUGGCUAUUCUAUGUGUACACCUUCUGUUGAUAAAUAAUUUCUCGUUGCUGUCAUUUGGGUGCUGCCUGGGGUAACUUGCUAUCAAUGGCUGUUGUUUCUCCUUUAGAUCUGGCACAAGGACAGAAUACUCACUUUGAGUUAAUAAUGAAGGCAGACAUGUGUUUGUGAUGUGGGCUUUUGUUGUGUUGUGCGUAUUAUGCAAGCCGCGAUUAAAAGGGUUCUAGAAAAUUUGAUUAACAACGGAAGCGAACUAUCAACGCAAAUAUAAGUUUAUAAUAAAUCUGUCUAACAAAAGUUUGAUAGCAAAGAAUGUUAGAAACCCAUCACUAACAGCCGUGUCUCAAGUAUAUAUAAUAAUUUUAAAUUUUCUAACAAUGUUCUUUCAAAUUUUUCUUAUUUGAAAAAGAAAAACUUCAUUCAAAAUAUUAUAAUCUACUUCUGAUUCCAAAUAUGUACCUCAAGUCCUUAUAAAGUCAUUGGCACCUAAGAGUUCUUAAAUUAAUAUCGAUAGUACUUGAUAUAGUAUACAGUACUGCACUUCCGUGAGUAGAGAGACUUUGUCCAAAAAUACGAGCAAAGUCCGUAAUCUUAUCUGUCAUCCUAGGAGUAAAUAAGCGUAUUUUUAAAUAUUAUACACGAGUCUUGAAAAAUCCAAAACAUGGCACGCAACAUAGCGAAUUCUGAAAGCUAACGUACUCUGAAUGUUUACAUUAAGGCUUCGCAAAACCGAACAUUAACAGUCGAAGAAGGUUGCCAAUGUAAACAUACUCGUCGCCGUACAAGAGUGAAUAAACAAUCAGUGAUCACUCUUGCAACCCCUUAGAAAUUAGCGAGUUAGUAAUAACAAAAUGGAUGCAAACAGGAAAUAGUCUCUCGUUUUGUCCAUUUUGUUCUUUUUUUUUCGCUGGGAACUCGUUAGCUACAAAAUAACUGCAUUAAACUUAUUCAUCGCUUUGACGUCGUCCUCUGUAGAUCUAGUAGAAAUGUCUGAGUUUAAGAAUUUAUCUUUUAAGAAUUAUAUAACCAAAUUCUUAUUCUUUUUUUUUUAAUUCUAAAAAUGCCGUCGUUACAUGGGGGCUGCGUAAUUUCCCCCAGUUUUUAAAAAAAAAAAAAAAAAAAAAGUGC